AAUCCCGUGAACCAUCGAGUCUUUGAACGCAAGUUGCGCCCCAAGCCUUCUGGCCGAGGGCACGUCUGCCUGGGUGUCACAAAUCGUCGUCCCCAUCCUCUGCGGAUAAGGGACGGAAGUUGGUCUCCCGUGUGUUACCGCACGCGGUUGCCCUAAAUCUGAG
rnacentral:rRNA from 1 species